UACGGAGGGUGCAAGCGUUAAUCGGAAUUACUGGGCGUAAAGCGUGCGUAGGCGGUUCGUUAAGUCUGUUGUGAAAGCCCCGGGCUCAACCUGGGAAUGGCAAUGGAUACUGGCGAGCUAGAGUGUGUCAGAGGAUGGUGGAAUUCCCGGUGUAGCGGUGAAAUGCGUAGAGAUCGGGAGGAACAUCAGUGGCGAAGGCGCUUUCUGGUCUGUAACUGACGCUGAGGCGCGAAAGCGUGGGGAGCAAACAGG
rnacentral:rRNA from 1 species